UACGUAGGGGGCAAGCGUUGUCCGGAUUUACUGGGCGUAAAGAGCGUGUAGGCGGCCAAACAGGUCCGUUGUGAAAACUGGAGGCUCAACCUCCAGACGUCGACGGAAACCGUAUGGCUAGAGUCCGGAAGAGGAGAGUGGAAUUCCUGGUGUAGCGGUGAAAUGCGCAGAUAUCAGGAAGAACACCAAUGGCGAAGGCAGGUCUCUGGGACGGUACUGACGCUGAGACGCGAAAGCGUGGGGAGCGAACAGG
rnacentral:rRNA from 1 species